rfam:Neotoma lepida isolate 417 scaffold_8738, whole genome shotgun sequence.
GGAGAGAUGGCUCAGUGGUUAAGAGCACUGACUGUUCGUCCAGAGGACCUGGGUUCAAUUCCCAGCNNCCACA